ensembl:antisense Slc6a19os solute carrier family 6 (neurotransmitter transporter), member 19, opposite strand
AGCUCUUCAGUUGUAGAGCAGCCCAGAACAGCAUUUUCAUGUCCAGAUAUUGUCCAGAUAUUACAAGAUCCUGCUUCCUCUUCAGAAUGCUCUGAUGUCACUAUUGGCAGAGACCACCAGCCUCCAGGGCAGUCUCACCCAGCCUUCAGGAACUUCUUUCUGAGCAUCCUGACAGAACAAGAAGCCUUCUGUGUCCAAAAGAUGAUGCCCUUUCAGACUGCAUGUCCACCCGGCCCUGGUCAGGAUCCUGAAGUCUGUAACAUCUGCUUGGUUACCAUAACUGAAGAAGUGGUCAGCCACAUGGCCUCGGUCUCACCAAUGAGCAGUGCUUCUGCAUCACCAGGCCCAAGAGCUGGUCCCCAAGUGGUCAACAUCGUGAACAUUCCUGGCCCUCAGAGAUACUUGUGUGGCACUCUAGU